AGUGAACGCUGGCGGCGUGGUUUAGGCAUGCAAGUCGAACGAUACCGCAAGGUAUAGUGGCAAAAGGGUGCGUAACGCGUGAGCAAUCUACCUUUAAGUGGGGAAUAACCCUGGGAAACCGGGGCUAAGACCGCAUAUGACCACGGCUCGGAAUCGAGCUGUGAUAAAAGAUGGGGACCGCAAGGCCUGUCGCUUAGAGAUGAGCUCGCGUCCUAUCAGCUUGUUGGCGGGUAACGCCCACCAAGGCUUUGACGGGUAGCUGGUCUGAGAGGAUGGUCAGCCACAUUGGGACUGAGAUACUGCCCAGACUCCUACGGGUGGCAG
rnacentral:rRNA from 1 species